GACAGGGACAGCAACAGCUACAAAUCGGGCGAGGAAGAGAGAAAAUGGAACUCGUCGUCGUCCACCAGCAUCAAUUCGUCUCAAGGAGUUUUGACUGUGACCACUGAGAACAAUAACGUUGCCAAAUUUGCGGCUUCUCAUUCGCUGGAUAAUCUCCAAAUUGCUCAACAGCAGAACACUGCAAAGGAACUGAAGGAUUUGAUCACGCCCAACUCAACGCCCACCACGUCGCGGAAGAAUAGGAGGCGAUCGAAUCUGUUCACCUCGUUAAAGAACGACAAGCACAAAAAUGGGGGUGAUUUUGGCAAUGGGCGCGCCAUUCCUCUGAAGCAGUUACGAUAGUCAAUUUUGGUUUCCGCCAUUCAGUUUAGCAUCUUCAGUCUUCAGCACAUAGACUUGAGUUCCGAGUUAGAAAGGGAGUUUCGGCAAAUGAUAAAUUGUGAAGUUAUUCAAUGUUGUUUUUUCCAUGGUUACCUGUACAAAAAGUCCAGCAAACCUUUGAACAAAGAAUGGAAGAAGAAUACGUGACGCUGUGUGAUGAUGGCAGGUUGACCUAUCACCCGAGCCUGCACGAAUACAUGGACGACGUGCAUGGAAAGGAAAUCUCUCUACAGUAUGUGACUGUUAAAGUGCCCGGUGAGAAGCCACGCGGUUCUAAGUCAAUUGUCACCGUGUCCAGUCAGGGCUACGGCGGCUGCAGUUCCGCUCUGCAUGAGAACCUCGGCAGUUUAUCACUACUGAGUGAGUUUUCUAGUUUCUGAAAUGACCUACAGUUCCAAUAGCCUAAACGGUUCUAUAAAUGGGAAAAAAUGGGUGUCUGACGCGUUCAAUACGCCUCGCAAAAAAUGCAAAUCAGCAUCUUUGAAAUCAGCAUCCACGCUGUAAACGUCACCAUGGCGCCCGCUUGGGGAUGUUCCGUUCAUUUAUGAGUAAGUUGCCUUGUAAGCAGGGCCUAGGUGGCGCUGACGACAAUCAAAAUCUUGGUCUGACCUUGACUAUUUGAGUGAGGCCCCCAUGACUCCCACAGCUUGAUGAAUAUUUGAUGGACCAACUCUUUGCGAUGACUUGCACGUGUUAAACGUCCGAAACGGCUUGAUGACCAAACGACCAGCUGGAAGAUGAAUGGAACCCGUUUGCUGUGUGCCUAUUCUUGACCACCAGGGAGUAGAACAGCCGAGGGAAGUGGGCGGGGUUUUAUGACAGUCGGCCGAAACGGUAUUAUUGAAAAAAAGUUGAGAGAGGGAGUCGCUCCCCAGGGAUCGGGAAUGAUCGAUUGCUACGACCCAGUAGAAAAGGCUUCUCCCCGGGGUUUCCAACCUCAAAUGCUAUUAAUUUAUGUCACCUUUGUGAUUUGUCAUUUAUCUUUUGUUUGUUGUAACGGGUAUAUCGAUUUAUUUAACGGGUUGCUUUCAAUUAAUUUUUGAAAUGAAUGUUGAGGAAUUUAUAAGAAAUGAAUGUUGAGGAUUAUAUAAUUUUAUAAGUGAGGAUGUGGAUGAUGCCAUGUAACAGUUUGGGGUUCCAAGGGACACCCUGGAUAAGAGGAAUCCCUUUGACUUAACAGAUCAUAAAUUUGUUACGCUCUUUAGAGUAUCAAAAAAUCUUUGCCGAGAGGUGGUGGAGAUGGUGUCACCAUUCGUUAGGGAGCCUACAAG
rnacentral:lncRNA from 1 species